GAUGAACGCUGGCGGCGUGCCUAAUACAUGCAAGUCGAGCGAACAGACGAGGAGCUUGCUCCUCUGACGUUAGCGGCGGACGGGUGAGUAACACGUGGAUAACCUACCUAUAAGACUGGGAUAACUUCGGGAAACCGGAGCUAAUACCGGAUAAUAUUUUGAACCGCAUGGUUCAAUAGUGAAAGACGGUUUUGCUGUCACUUAUAGAUGGAUCCGCGCUGCAUUAGCUAGUUGGUAAGGUAACGGCUUACCAAGGCAACGAUGCAUAGCCGACCUGAGAGGGUGAUCGGCCACACUGGAACUGAGACACAGUCCAGACUCCUACGGGAGGCAGCAGUAGGGAAUCUUCCGCAAUGGGCGAAAGCCUGACGGAGCAACGCCGCGUGAGUGAUGAAGGUCUUCGGAUCGUAAAACUCUGUUAUUAGGGAAGAACAAAUGUGUAAGUAACUAUGCACGUCUUGACGGUACCUAAUCAGAAAGCCACGGCUAACUACGUG
rnacentral:rRNA from 1 species